rnacentral:rRNA from 1 species
UUCCGGUUGAUCCUGCCGGAGGCCAUUGCUAUCGGAUUCCGAGUAAGCCAUGCUAGUCGCACGGGUUCAGACCCGUGGCGGACAGCUCAGUAACACGUGGCCAAACUACCCUGUGCACUGGAAUAACCUCGGGAAACUGAGGCUAAUUCCGGAUAUGAACCCCAGCCUGGAGUGGCGGGGUUCAGAAAGGCUUCGGCGGCGCAGGAUGUGGCUGCGGUCGAUUAGGUAGACGGUGGGGUAACGGCCCACCGUGCCGAUAAUCGGUACGGGCCAUGAGAGUGGAAGCCCGGAGGUGGACUCUGAGACAAGAGUCCAGGCCCUACGGGGCGCAGCAGGCGCGAACACUUUACACUGCACGCACGUGCGAUAAGGGGAGUCCGAGUGCGAGGGCAUACAGUCCUCGCUUUUGUACACCGUAAACAGGUGUCCGAAUAAGAGCUGGGCAAGACCGGUGCCAGCCGCCGCGGUAACACCGGCAGCUCGAGUGAUGGCCGCUAUUAUUGGGCCUAAAGCGUCCGUAGCCGGCCGGAUAAGUCCGUCGGGAAAUCCAUCCGCUUAACGGAUGGGCGUCCGGCGGAAACUGUCUGGCUUGGGACCGGAAGACCUGAGGGGUACGGCUGGGGUAGGAGUGAAAUCCCGUAAUCCCGGUCGGACCACCGGUGGCGAAAGCGCCUCAGGAAGACGGAUCCGACGGUGAGGGACGAAAGCUAGGGGCGAGAACCGGAUUAGAUACCCGGGUAUUCCUAGCUGUAAACGAUGCCCGCUGGGUGCGCCACUGGCUACGAGCCAGUGGUGUGCCGUAAGGAAGCCGCUAAGCGGGCCGCCUGGGAAGUACGUCCGCAAGGAUGAAACUUAAAGGAAUUGGCGGGGGAGCACUACAACCGGAGGAGCCUGCGGUUUAAUUGGAUUCAACGCCGGG